AUUGAACGCUGGCGGCAUGCCUUACACAUGCAAGUCGAACGGCAGCACGGGUGCUUGCACCUGGUGGCGAGUGGCGAACGGGUGAGUAAUAUAUCGGAACGUGCCUUAUUGUGGGGGAUAACGCAGCGAGAGCUGUGCUAAUACCGCAUAAUCCCUGAGGGGGAAAGCGGGGGACCGUAAGGCCUCGCGCAAUUAGAGCGGCCGAUACCUGAUUAGCUAGUUGGUGAGGUAAAGGCUCACCAAGGCAACGAUCAGUAGCUGGUCUGAGAGGACGAUCAGCCACACUGGGACUGAGACACGGCCCAGACUCCUACGGGAGGCAGCAGUGGGGAAUUUUGGACAAUGGGGGCAACCCUGAUCCAGCAAUGCCGCGUGAGUGAAGAAGACCUUCGGGUUGUAAAGCUCUUUUGUCAGGGAAGAAACAGCAGCUCUAAUACAGUAUGCGAAUGACGGUACCUGAAGAAUAAGCACCGGCUAACUACGUGCCAGCAGCCGCAGUAA
rnacentral:rRNA from 1 species